rnacentral:rRNA from 1 species
GACGAGCGCUGGCGGCGUGCCUAAUACAUGCAAGUUGAGCGCUGAAGGUUGGUACUUGUACCAACUGGAUGAGCAGCGAACGGGUGAGUAACGCGUGGGGAAUCUGCCUUUGAGCGGGGGACAACAUUUGGAAACGAAUGCUAAUACCGCAUAAAAACUUUAAACACAAGUUUUAAGUUUGAAAGAUGCAAUUGCAUCACUCAAAGAUGAUCCCGCGUUGUAUUAGCUAGUUGGUGAGGUAAAGGCUCACCAAGGCGAUGAUACAUAGCCGACCUGAGAGGGUGAUCGGCCACAUUGGGACUGAGACACGGCCCAAACGCCUACGGGAGGCAGCAGUAGGGAAUCUUCGGCAAUGGACGAAAGUCUGACCGAGCAACGCCGCGUGAGUGAAGAAGGUUUUCGGAUCGUAAAACUCUGUUGGUAGAGAAGAACGUUGGUGAGAGUGGAAAGCUCAUCAAGUGACGGUAACUACCCAGAAAGGGACGGCUAACUACGUG